rnacentral:rRNA from 1 species
GACGAACGCUGGCGGCGUGCUUAACACAUGCAAGUCGAACGGAAAGGCCCUGCUUUUGUGGGGUGCUCGAGUGGCGAACGGGUGAGUAACACGUGAGUAACCUGCCAUUGACUUUGGGAUAACUUCAGGAAACUGGGGCUAAUACCGGAUAGGAGCUCCUGCUGCAUGGUGGGGGUUGGAAAGUUUCGGCGGUUGGGGAUGGACUCGCGGCUUAUCAGCUUGUUGGUGGGGUAGUGGCUUACCAAGGCUUUGACGGGUAGCCGGCCUGAGAGGGUGACCGGCCACAUUGGGACUGAGAUACGGCCCAGACUCCUACGGGAGGCAGCAGUGGGGAAUAUUGCAAAAUGGGCGGAAGCCUGAUGCAGCAACGCCGCGUGCGGGAUGACGGCCUUCGGGUUAUAAACCGCUUUCGCCUGUGACGAAGCGUGAGUGACGGUAAUGGGUAAAGAAGCACCGGCUAACUACGUG